AUCUGAAACUAGAGCUCAUAAUAUAAAAAAAAUAUUGUUAAAAACAGGGGGGUUGGUCUAUUCCAUGGCUUCUAGAGAAAAAUAAUGAGGGGUGUCACGGGGUAUGACUAUAUAGAUCUUGUAGAGGAGAAACAGACGCAUCUUUUGCGCAAGGCAUCGAAGGGCGCUAUGUUAAAAAAUCUGAAACUAGAGCUCAAAAUUAAAAAAAAAAAAUGUUAAAAACAGGGGGUUGGUCUAUUCCAUGGCUUCUAGAGAAAAAUAAUGAGGGGUGUCACGGGGUAUGACUAUAUAGGUCUUGAAGAGGAGAAACAGGCGCAUCUUUUGCGCAAGGUAUCGAAUGGCGCUAUGUUCAAAAAUCUGAAACUAGAGCUCAAAAUUAAAAAAAAAAAUGUUAAAAACAGGGGGGUUGGUCUAUUCCAUGGCUUCUAGAGAAAAAUAAUGAGGGGUGUCACGGGGUAUGACUAUAUAAUUCUUGUAGAAGAGAAACAGGCGCAUCUUUUGCGCAAGGUAUCGAAUGGCGCUAUGUUCAAAAAUCUGAAACUAGAGCUCAAAAUUAAAAAAAAAAAUUGUUAAAAACAGGGGGAUUACCUUAUUCCAUGGCUUCUACAGAAAAAUAAGGAGGGGUGUCACGGGGUAUGACUAUAUAGGUCUUGUAGAGGAGAAACAGGCGCAUCUUUUGCGCAAGGUAUCGAAGGGCGCUAUGUUAAAAAAUCUGAAACUAGAGCUCAAAAUUUUGAAAAAAAAAAUGUUAAAAACAGGGGGGUUGGCCUAUUCCAUGGCUUCUAGAGAAAAACAAUGAGGGGUGUCACGGGGUAUGACUAUAUAGGUCUUGUAGAAGAGAAACAGGCGCAUCUUUUGCGCAAGGUAUCGAAGGGCGCUAUGUUAAAAAAUCUGAAACUGGAGCUAAAAAUUUUGAAAAACAAAUGUUAAAAACAGGGGGGUUGGCCUAUUCCAUGGCUUCUAGAGAAAAAUAAUGAGGGGUGUCAAGGGGUAUGACUAUAUAGGUCUUGUAGAGGAGAAACAGGCGCAUCUUUUGCGCAAGGUAUCGAAGGGCGCUAUGUUCAAAAAUCUGAAACUAGAGCUCAAAAUUUUGAAAAAAAAUAUUAAAAACAGGGGGGUUGGCCUAUUCCAUGGCUUCUAGAGAAAAAUAAUGAGGGGUGUCACGGGGUAUGACUAUAUAGGUCUUGUAGAGGAGAAACAUACGCAUCUUUUGCGCAAGGUAUCGAAGGGCGCUAUGUUCAAAAAUCUGAAACUAGAGCUCAAAUUGUGAAAAAAAAUUUGUUAAAAACAGGGGGGGUUGGCCUAUUCCAUGGCUUCUAGAGAAAAAUAAUGAGGGGUGUCACGGGGUAUGACUAUAUAGGUCUUGUAGAGGAGAAACAUGCGCAUCUUUUUCGCAAGGUAUCGAAGGGCGCUAUGUUCAAAAAUCUGAAACUAGAGCUCUAAAUUUUGAAAAAAAAUGUUAAAAACAGGGGGGUUGGCCUAUUCCAUGGCUUCUAGAGAAAAAUAAUGAGGGGUGUCACGGGGUAUGACUAUAUAGGUCUUGUAGAGGAGAAACAGGCGCAUCUUUUGCGCAAGGUAUCGAAGGGCGCUAUGUUCAAAAAUCUGAAACUAGAGCUCAAAAUUAAAAAAAAAAUUGCUAAAAACAGGGGGGUUGGUCUAUUCCAUGGCUUCUAGAGAAAAAUAAUGAGGGGUGUCAAGGGGUAUGACUAUAUAGGUCUUGUAGAGGAGAAACAGGCACAUCUUUUGCGCAAGGUAUCGAAGGGCUCUAUGUUCAAAAAACUGAAACUAGAGCUCAAAAUUUAAAAAAAAAAUUGUUAAA